AUCGAAUUAUAAGCGAGGGUUGUUGCUGGCCUCUAAAGAGGCAUGUGCACGCCCGAGCUCUUAAAUCCACAACACACCUGUGAACCCACCGUAGGCCUUCGGGCUUAUGUAUCAUAUACUCUGAAUGUGUCAUAGAAUGUUCAUGUUGCCUUAAAACGCAAUCAAAUACAACUUUCAACAACGGAUCUCUUGGCUCUCGCAUCGAUGAAGAACGCAGCGAAAUGCGAUAAGUAAUGUGAAUUGCAGAUUUUCAGUGAAUCAUCGAAUCUUUGAACGCACCUUGCGCUCCUUGGUAUUCCGAGGAGCAUGCCUGUUUGAGUGUCAUUAAAUUCUCAACCCCACCGAUUUGCUUCGGGGGGAUUGGACUUGGAGCGUGCUGGCGAAGGUCGGCUCCUCUUUAAAUGCAUCAGUGGAGAGAAACUUGCCCCAGUGUGAUAAUCCUGUUGCGCUGUGGUGGGUGAAAGUCUGCUUCCAACCGUCCCUCCGGGGACAUAUGUCAUCUUAUUUUGACCUCAAAUCAGGUAGGACUACCCGCUGAACUUAAGCAU
rnacentral:rRNA from 1 species